AGAGCGAACGCUGGCGGCAGGCCUAACACAUGCAAGUCGAGCGCCCGUAGCAAUACGGGAGCGGCAGACGGGAUAGUAACACGUGGGAACGCGCCCUUCGGUUCGGAAUAACUCAGGGAAACUUGAGCUAAUACCGAAUACGCCCUUACGGGGAAAGAUUUAUUGCCGAAGGAACGGCCCGCGUCCGAUUAGCUAGUUGGUGAGGUAAUGGCUCACCAAGGCUACGAUCGGUAGCUGGUCUGAGAGGAUGACCAGCAUCACUGGGACUGAGACACGGCCCAGACUCCUACGGGAGGCAGCAGUGGGGAAUAUUGGACAAUGGGCGCAAGCCUGAUCCAGCCAUGCCGCGUGGAUGAUGAAGGCCUUAGGGUUGUAAAGUCCUUUUAACGGGGAAGUAUAAUGACGGUACCGUAGAAUAAGCCCCGGCUAACGUUCGUGCCAGCAGCCGC
rnacentral:rRNA from 1 species